UUCAGGCGAAGUCAGUGAUCCCAUGCUGUCGAAAAAGCCUCUAGCGAGUGUUAUGGCGACCCGUACCCCAAACCAACACAGGUGGUCAGGUAGAGAAUACCAAGGCGAUCGAGAGAAUCAUGGUUAAGGAACUCGGCAAAAUACCCCCGUAACUUAGGGAGAAAGGGGACCAAGGCUGGUGGAGGGACUUGCUCCCCGAGCUGGCAGUGGUCGCAGAGACCAGGCGGAAGCGACUGUUUACUAAAAACACAGGUCCAUGCAAAGUCGCAAGACGACGUAUAUGGACUGACGCCUGCCCGGUGCUGGAACGUUAAGGGGACCGGUUAGGCCUUCGGGUCGAAGCUGAGAACUUAAGCGCCAGUAAACGGCGGUGGUAACUAUAACCAUCCUAAGGUAGCGAAAUUCCUUGUCGGGUAAGUUCCGACCUGCACGAAUGGCGUAACGACUUCCGCGCUGUCUCAACCAUGAACUCGGCGAAAUUGCACUACGAGUAAAGAUGCUCGUUACGCGUGGCAGGACGGAAAGACCCCGGGACCUUUACUAUAGUUUGGUAUUGGUGUUCGACUCGGUUUGUGUAGGAUAGGUGGGAGACUGUGAAGCUCAUACGCCAGUAUGGGUGGAGUCAACGUUGAAAUACCACUCUGAUCGUGUUGGAUGUCUAACCUCGGUCCAUGAUCUGGAUCAGGGACAGUGCCUGAUGGGUAGUUUAACUGGGGCGGUUGCCUCCUAAAAUGUAACGGAGGCGCCCAAAGGUUCCCUCAGCCUGGUUGGCAAUCAGGUGUCGAGUGUAAGUGCACAAGGGAGCUUGACUGUGGGACCGACGGGUCGAACAGGGACGAAAGUCGGGACUAGUGAUCCGGCACCGGCAAGUGGAAGCGGUGUCGCUCAACGGAUAAAAGGUACCCCGGGGAUAACAGGCUGAUCUUGCCCAAGAGUCCAUAUCGACGGCAUGGUUUGGCACCUCGAUGUCGGCUCGUCGCAUCCUGGGGCCGGAGUAGGUCCCAAGGGUUGGGCUGUUCGCCCAUUAAAGCGGUACGCGAGCUGGGUUUAGAACGUCGUGAGACAGUUCGGUCCCUAUCCGCCACGCGCGCAGGAGUCUUGAGGAGGGCUGUCCCUAGUACGAGAGGACCGGGACGGACGAACCUCUGGUGUGCCAGUUGUUCUGCCAAGAGCACGGCUGGUUGGCUACGUUCGGAAGGGAUAACCGCUGAAAGCAUCUAAGCGGGAAGCUCGCUCCAAGAUGAGGACUCCCACAGGGUUGACCUGGUAAGGCCCCCAGCUAGACGACUGGGUUGAUAGGCCGGAAGUGGAAGCACGGCAACGUGUGCAGCUGACCGGUACUAAUAGGCCGAGGACUUAAAAAA
rnacentral:rRNA from 1 species